rnacentral:rRNA from 1 species
ACUCCUACGGGAGGCAGCAGUAGGGAAUAUUGGACAAUGGGCGAAAGCCUGAUCCAGCAAUGCCGCGUGAGUGAUGAAGGCCUUAGGGUUGUAAAGCUCUUUUACCAGAGAUGAUAAUGACAGUAUCUGGGGGAAUAAGCCCCGGCUAACUCCGUGCCAGCAGCCGCGGUAAUACGGAGGGGCUAGCGUUGUUCGGAAUUACUGGGCGUAAAGCGCACGUAGGCGGCGAUUUAAGUCAGAGGUGAAAGCCCGGGGCUCAACCCCGGAACUGCCUUUGAGACUGGAUUGCUUGAAUCCGGGAGAGGUGAGUGGAAUUCCGAGUGUAGAGGUGAAAUUCGUAGAUAUUCGGAAGAACACCAGUGGCGAAGGCGGCUCACUGGACCGGCAUUGACGCUGAGGUGCGAAAGCGUGGGAGCAAACAGGAUUAGAUACCCUGGUAGCGACUGA